AAGUUAUAGUUAUAACACGGGCACAAGGGAUGUAUGGAAUAUAUUGCACUGAAGCACGAGGGCGCCAGCCCCGAGGGCUGAGUGCAAUAUAUGCCAUGCAGCCCGAGUGCACGUGUUAUAACUAGUUUAUAUCCCGAGGGCAUAGCAACAUAACACUGUCCUAGUAACACAAUAUAAACAGCACAAAAAAAGACAGAGACAACUCUAGACACAGCUCCAUCUCUUCUCUCUUCUAGACGCCAGUAUCUGCAGCGUAUAAGAUUGGCAUGACCGACGAAUGGCUUGACACAAAAUUGUUGGAGUUUCAACUGAAAUCUGCAAAACAGCCCCACCCCACUUCUGGUGCUGCAAAACAGCCCCGCCCCACUUACUGCUGCAAAGAAACAGCCCCACCCCACUACUCAGUGAAUACAUGGUAUUAGCUGCUGGUCUACGCUCGGCCUCAUAACCAAGCCAAGAAAGCUCGCUUCUACACUGCUGCAAAACAGCUCAUGCCCCCAGCAAAAAGAGCCACUUCUAGUGCUACGGUGAAGCAGAAUUGACAUGCAUCACGAUGUCGAGGACUAGGUCGAUCUAGGAACACAGAAUCUUCCACAAAAUGAAUCUUGGACAAUUUUAAAACCUGCAUGGUUGCAAGAAGAAACUCCAGCAGUGCUGAACAUUCAUUCCUGCAUGGCUGGACAUACUUUAAUACUUGUUAUUUCUCAUGCGUAUUAAUUUAAUUUU